GACAGAGCAUGAGCGGGGGAGGGGCAGAGAGAGAGGGAGACACAGAAUCGGAAACAGGCCCCAGGCUCCUAGCCGUCAGCACGGAGCCCGACGCGGGGCUCGAACUUACAAACUGUGAAAUCACGACCUGAGCCGAAGUCAGAUGCCCAACUGACUGAGCCACCCAGGCGCCCCUCCUCACUUGCUUUUUAGUGGUGGGACUCCACAGCUAGCUUAUGGGAAGCUAAGGACCCAGAGCAGAGUUUGAGGAUAAGUAGUACCAGAAGGCAGGACAGCCUUUGGCUGUCACUCUUGGUUCUCCUGCCCAGCCCUCUCCUGCAAUCCCGAUAGACAUUCACAGCCCCCCUUCUACUGAGGAGGCCAGGGUUUCAUCUGGUGACUCCACGAAAGGCACAUUUUGGAGAGUUCCCUGAGCCGUAGGCCCUGUGGAAUCAGUAGCUCUCAGGGCAAACCAGGAACCUGGCCUCACUGAGCUUGCCUUCCGGUUCAGGACACAAACACCAGUGGUGUACUUUUAAAAAGACCGUUCCGGGUUUUGAAAAGAUUUGGGAAGGAAACCAACAGGAUGAAACAAAGGAGAGAAGGUGGUGGAAGCCGUGAGUCUAGAUUAGUGGGUCAGGGAAGGCCUGUGUGCAGAGGAGACAUUUGUUUGAGGCCCGAGGGAUGUGACAGAGCCAUCCCGAGUUGGGCCUGGGCAAGAGCCCUCCAGGGAGACAGUGCGGCUGUUAUAAACACCGGCCUGGGAGAGGAUCAGAUUUCCGGGGCCGGGGUGGCUGCAGCCCCGUGACUGAGGGGAGGGGACCCAGGUCCCUGGGGGCCUUGUAGGCCAGGGUGAGAGGUGUGGAUUUCAUCGCUCGACCCGAGUGUUCUAUUAACUCCUGUCCCUCUUCCCUCAGACACGAGGCUCUAGGCGCCCAGACGGCGGCGGGCUGAGCGCACAGACAGAUCUGUGAGCCAGGACAGACGCGCGGAGGCCAGGGGUCACCUCACACCCGUCCUGCCGGCUGGGCCCUCGGCAAGCACCAAGACCUACUUGGAUGUGGCUGGCACACAACCGUUGGAAGAAGGGGAGGCAAAGAAUAAUAGACCCAAAGACUCGGACCUUCAGUUUUGCAAGAGGUCUUUCGAGAGAGAGGCUUCUUCCCCCGCAAGCUUGUAAUACCUCAGAAAGGGCUUCAAAACACAUGCAGAUUAACUCAAAGAAAGCAGAUCACAGCUAAGCUGAGUAGCAGACCUAGGGGCCCUCCCCCUCUACCCUUCAAGGCCAGUUUCGAGAACCUCGGAAAGCCAGUCUUCGGUCACUCUGACGAGUCUUUGCCUCAUCACCCUGCUGGCGUCAGCUGUGGCCUCUGCCUCCCGGUUGCCCGGCUGCCUGAGGAGGGGGCCGAGGCUGCGGUUCCUGCCGCUCUCUGCUCUGCCCGGGGACUUGGCUGUCGGUACCCCCACCGCCCCACUGCUGCCCAGCAGACAGAGGGUACCUCUCCACAAAAGCGCGGGGGACCCAGGGCUCACCUCCCAAAGUCUGUUGAAGUCCAGGUUUGGGCUGACAAAGUGAAUUCCUGUACCGGGACCACAAAAUGGAGGCGGCCCUGGUGGCCCAGCCCAUGUCACAGUUCUAAGCCUAAGUCAUGUGAAACACCUGUCAGGGAAACCCAACCCCCCCCCCCCCCCCCCCCAGCACAACCUUACCCUAGAAAACAGGAUCUGCCCACCUUCUAAGGAAACCCUGACCUCCUGGCCAAUCGUGCCCAUUCUUUCCUACGUUGCUUCUUCUCUACACAACUGGCUCUUGCCCCAAAUCCUGCCAGACUGUUCCAUGCUUGGGAGGCGCUGUACUCCCCCAAUCCAUGGCUUGUCUUCCCUCAGAUAAAGGAAGGGUCAGCUCAUCGCUCAAUUGUUUCCGUUUUGUCCUUUGACAGGGCUGAGAACGCUGAGGUGGCGUGACCCAGGCGCACCGAGUACAGCUCUGAAGAUCUCAGUUGCUAAUGAGAACAUACGGCCCACGUGCCGGAAGAUGACAUUUGCAGACGCUUGUCACGCUUGUGAAGUCACUUUCGGGUGUACCAUUUUGAGGCCUGUGGCAGGCUAGAGUCACUGAAGUAGUCGCGGUACCCAGCUCCCAGGUAGAUUCCCAGAGAUGACUGGGGCGAGAUUGGGCCCCAGCCCCCAGAACGGUACCCCCCCAGGGCUACCGGGAUGGACAGCUCAAGAGUGGAGUGUCUCAGAAAAGCCACACAUGCGGGGUUAAUACAUGACCAAAGUAUUAGAGUUCGCUGGAAGGUUUUUCAUGAACGGGUGCGGAAGCCGUCGAUUAGCUUCCUGAAAGCAAAACUAGUUUAAGUCCUCAUGUCCACCUCACAUACCAAAGUGAACGUCACAUGGAUCCAAGAGUGAAAUGCCAUGAACAGAGGGGAAAAAUAGAUCUAAAAACAAGUCAAGAUUCGGUUACGAAUGAGAAGGAACACUUUGAGCUUAAAAGCAAACUGAAAUUACAAAAAAAAAAAAAGUGCAGAUUUAACUAUUUACAAGAAAGACACA